CUAAGACUUUUUUAAAAAUUUUUUUCAAAAGAUCUGACUACACACAAAUCAGAUUUUAUGUUCAACACAUGAACAAUCUGAUUUUUGGACAAGCAUCUCAUGCUUUCCAAUUUCACUCUUCCCUUUCUUUCUAUUUUUCUCUCCCUUUUCCUUUUCAUUUUUUACUUUAAAUUUUUUCUACCUCUUCCUUAUCUAAUCCCACUUCCAAAAUAAUUUUUUGGAUGAUUUUUAUGCCAUAUGGGAUACCCCUUAUAUAAGGAAUGAAGGGCACCACAUAAAUCCUAAGGGAUGCCAACUCUAGGCAUCCCUUAUUCAUUCAUGCACCAUAUUAAUUUUUUCCAUGUAAUCCCAUAGGUUAAGAUGUGGAA
rnacentral:lncRNA from 1 species